rnacentral:rRNA from 1 species
CCUACGGGUGGCAGCAGUGGGGAAUAUUGCACAAUGGGGGAAACCCUGAUGCAGCGACGCCGCGUGAGUGAAGAAGUAUUUCGGUAUGUAAAGCUCUAUCAGCAGGGAAGAAAUAGCGACCUUUGGGUCGCCAGACGGUACCUGAUUAAGAAGCCCCGGCUAACUACGUGCCAGCAGCCGCGGUAAUACGUAGGGGGCAAGCGUUAUCCGGAUGUACUGGGUGUAAAGGGAGCGUAGACGGCAGCGCAAGUCUGAAGUGAAAGGCCGGGGCUUAACCCCGGAACUGCUUUGGAAACUGUGCAGCUCGAGUGCAGGAGAGGUAAGUGGAAUUCCUAGUGUAGCGGUGAAAGGCGUAGAUAUUAGGAGGAACACCAGUGGCGAAGGCGGCUUACUGGACUGUAACUGACGUUGAGGCUCGAAAGCGUGGGGAGCAAACAGGAUUAGAUACCCGAGUAGUC